rnacentral:rRNA from 1 species
UACGAAGGGGGCUAGCGUUGCUCGGAAUCACUGGGCGUAAAGGGUGCGUAGGCGGGUCUUUAAGUCAGGGGUGAAAUCCUGGAGCUCAACUCCAGAACUGCCUUUGAUACUGAGGAUCUUGAGUUCGGGAGAGGUGAGUGGAACUGCGAGUGUAGAGGUGAAAUUCGUAGAUAUUCGCAAGAACACCAGUGGCAGAGGCGGCUCACUGGCCCGGUACUGACGCUGAGGUGCGAAAGCGUGGGGAGCAAACAGG